UGAGCGCGGCGGGGCGGUGGGCGUGGGCGGGGUUGAGAUGCGCGGGGGGAGCGCGGCGCUCCGUCCCUUCUGAGGUGCUCGGAGAGUCGUGGGAUGGCGUGGGUUGGAUCUGAGGACCGUCCGGUCCCAUCCGGUGCCGUGGGCUGGUUGUCACCCACCGGAUCGGGUUUGCUUAAAACCCCGUACAACUCGAUUGGAGCAUCCCUAGCUUUUCUGGGUGGGCCGCCCCCAUGAGGAGCUCCUCAUCUGCUCGUACCCACACGUCCUCCUCCAUCGCUUUUGAGAUUCUCGGUCGUUUAUGCUGUGCCCCAUCCCUGGAGGUGCUCGAGGGCAGGCUGGAUGGGGCCCUGGGCAGCCUGAGCUGGUGGGUGGCAUCCAGCCCACAGCAGCAGGGUGGAGGGGGUGAUCUUUAAGGUCCCUUCCAGUCUAAGCCGUUCUGUGAUCGGUCAUGACGUCCUCCAUCAGUCAUGAGAUGCUCUAUCACCCAUGAGAUGGUCCAUCAGUCGCGAUACACGUCCAUCACUUUUGAGAUGCUCUAUCUGCUGUGAGACACGUCUUCUAUUAUGAGAUGUUCUGUGGGUGAUCCUGGGAUGGAUCCAGGAUCCAUAGAGCUUCCAUGGGAAGAGACAAAGGACCGCAUAUCUCCGGUGGGGAGCAAAUGGAAUAAAUCUUUGGCAGGAAGCCCCUGGUGGCUUUGAGUUUGUACUCCAGGCAUAGGAAGGGGCAGGUACAGCACUGGGUACUGCCCAAGCACUGCAAAAAGCCCUCUGCACCCUCAGUGCUCUCCCUCCCUCAGUGUUCCCAGCCCUUUAUGGCUCGCCAGCCAGUAGGCAGCUCUUGGAAAGCAGACUAUGCAAGGGGUGAUAGGAAGGAAGGUUUAUUACUGCAGCAGAUACAAUCGCAAGUUGUGGGAAAUGCGGCCUUCCUGCAGGAGGCUGGGGUCCUAUUGCUCUGCCCGGUCUUGUCCCCGACCCCAAAACCAUGGAAGGAGGAAUGGGGACCCAGAGUGCCCAGAGCUGUGGGUGCCCCAUCCCUGGAGGUUCUCAAGUCCAGGUUGGACGGGGCCCUGGGCAUCCUGAGCUGAUGGGGGCAACCAGCCCGUGGCAGGGGGUUGGGACUGGAUGGGCUUUAAGUCACUUCUAACUCAAGGCAUUCUGUGAUGAUUAUAUGGCGAUGUUUGAUGGUUGUGUUGCCCUCCGGUCCAUUUCUGUGCUCUGUAUCUCACCCAGCUGACAGUGGUUCUUCAACAAGCAGCAGGUGGCCCAGUGUCAGAGCUGGCUGGUCCCUUUUUCUCCUUCACUGCAUCUCCUUUACUCAUCCCCUCUUCUCUCCUCUACCUAAUUCUCCAACAGCACCCCCUUGGGCUGCCUUUAUUCUCCUCUUGGCCCUGAGGAUGGGACAUCUCCUGGUACAGCUGUCACCGAGCCUGGAGCAGAGCAGGGACCCUCAACCACGGAUGGACAGAUGGACAACCCUGGAGAGACAACCAUAUCUGUGCCAGGCUGGGGAUGUGGGCAUGCGGAUGGUUAUACUUUGAUGGCUGCUCUGUAUUAUGACAAGCAAAGAUAACACACCAGACAGCACGCUUGUUCCAGCCUCCACGAGACCUCAUACCAAUCCCUGGCCAGGUUCAUCAGCAGUGAGAAGUAGUAGCACUUGGUAGCCCAGUUCUGCCACUUUGCCUUCUUGAUGUCAGACUGGAGUCCAACGCUCUUCAACCACAGCACCGUGUCGCAGAAGAAGUACAGAGCACGGGUCAGGUUGGAGGCUGUCAGGCAGAUGCGAGGAAGCACUUCGGGAAGCUCUGUAGUUUUCCUGGCUGCUACCAAGGCGUGCACCACAUUGCCCAGCCGGAACACUGCAAGUAAUGCCACAAAGGUCAGAAUGGCUACUGCAGGGGCGCAGCUCUGAGCACAGCUCAGCAUGUCACUGCCCCACGCGUACAUUCUAAAGACUUAACAGGCUUUGGGCAUUCGUAUGUUUAAACAACUCCUGCCUUAAGGAAAAUUGUGAAAUUUUGCCUCCUCGGCCAUGAGUUUGUCACAUAGUUCCCUGCAAACAGGGGCAGUAUAUUCCAUCCGAAGCCAUAUCACAGGGCCAGCUGGAUUCCAUCCCUCGCGCAGGCUGGGUUUCACCCCACGAAUGUUAAUACAAUAGUGUGCAAAACACUUUUUAUAACCUGCUGCACUACAACAGUGGCAGAUGUUGGCAGCACCCGAGGGUUAGUGGAGCUGCAAGGCUCUGAAUUUAGGCCUGAAGUCUGUUAGAGAUUCGUUUUGCAAGAGAAUUGAUUAAGCAAGAGGAUUACAGCUAUGCUGAUACACUCUCCUAGCAAUUAUGAUCCUCCAGACGUAAUUGCAAUAAUAAAACCAAUCUAUGGUAAUGUA